AUUGAACGCUGGCGGAAUGCUUUACACAUGCAAGUCGAACGGCAGCACGGACUUCGGUCUGGUGGCGAGUGGCGAACGGGUGAGUAGUGUAUCGGAACGUGCCCAGUCGUGGGGGAUAACGUAGUGAAAAUUACGCUAAUACCGCAUACGAUCUAUGGAUGAAAGCGGGGGAUCGCAAGACCUCGCGCGAUUGGAGCGGCCGAUAUCAGAUUAGGUAGUUGGUGGGGUAAAGGCCCACCAAGCCAACGAUCUGUAGCGGGUCUGAGAGGACGACCAGCCACACUGGAACCGAGACACGGUCCAGACUCCUACGGGAGGCAGCAGUGGGGAAUUUUGGACAAUGGGCGAAAGCCUGAUCCAGCCAUUCCGCGUGUAGGAUGAAGGCCCUCGGGUUGUAAACUGCUUUUGUACAGAACGAAAAGGUUUCUACUAAUACUAGGAGCUCAUGACGGUACUGUAAGAAUAAGCACCGGCUAACUACGUGCCAGCAGCCGCCGUAA
rnacentral:rRNA from 1 species